rnacentral:tRNA from 1 species
GGGGAUUUAGCUCAGUGGUAGAGCGCUUGCCUAGGAAGCACAAGGCCCUGGGUUCGGUCAGUCCCCA